GCCGGCCCUUGCCGCGGCGGAUGACCUCGCGCUGCCGCCGCGCGCGGAUCGGCCCGAGACGCGUGAUCGCGUGGUUCAGCACCACGGCCAGCA
rnacentral:tRNA from 1 species